GACCAGAUAGCCUAGUGGUUAAAGGCAGCACAUCUAGUGCAUGCUGAGGUCCCAGGCUCAAAUCCUGGUCUGGUAA
rnacentral:tRNA from 1 species